AUGAAGCUGGAGCCUCUGGAGCAAGCGAUGUGCAGGAGCGAGGAUUUGGACAGAGUGUUGGUGUUGGGUGCAAUGUCUAAAUUCACGUUGACUCAAGAACCUUAUAUUUCUGCAUCUCCUGGAGAAGCAGCCAAACUCUCCUGCAAUAUUAGCAGCGGGAAAUACUUUGGAACCUUCUCAUGGUACCAGCAACAGGGAGGAGAAAGGCCCAGAUUUCUACUGAAUUAUAAUACAACCUCCAGAGAGACAAAAUUUGACCCUGAAGCUUCUGGUCAUUUCUCUGCUUCUACAAACACCUAUAAGAAAACUGCUUUCUUAAUCAUCAACAAUGUGCAGGGAAAGGAUGAAGGGAACUAUUACUGUUAUGUUGGGUAA